GCAGUGUCUCAAACAGCAAAGGGAACGAAUAGCUUCCAUCAACAGAAGAAUCAGCCCUGCGAAUUGCAUGUAGAUGGCCAAUUGAUGCCUCCAAAUUUGAAAAUAAACUAUUAAUAGUAACUAGCAAUGAUGGGAAUGACUUUUCUGGAUCCUUCACCAACUCUUCUCCACAUCUGUCAACUUCCAUGUAAACCUCAGCCAAGAAUGUAGCAAGCACACGUCUUAAUGUCGUUAAAACAUCCAGCCUCUCAGAUAUAUAAGCAGAUGCAGAUUGGCAUAGAUGCUGCAUUGAAGGACCCUCAACAACGCAUUGUUGCACUAACUGAACUGUUCCGUC
rnacentral:misc_RNA from 1 species